rnacentral:rRNA from 1 species
UACGGAGGGGGCCAGCGUUGUUCGGAAUCAUUGGGCGUAAAGGGCGCGUAGGCGGCUUUGUAAGUCCGUUGUGAAAUCCCUCGGCUCAACCGAGGAACUGCGACGGAUACUGCUUGGCUUGAGUCCCGGAGAGGGUAGCGGAACUCCCAGCGUAGCGGUGAAAUGCGUAGAUAUUGGGAGGAACAUCGGUGGCGAAGGCGGCUACCUGGACGGGUACUGACGCUGAUGCGCGAAAGCUAGGGGAGCAAACAGG